AUUGAACGCUGGCGGCAGGCCUAACACAUGCAAGUCGGACGGUAGCACAGAGAGCUUGCUCUCGGGUGACGAGUGGCGGACGGGUGAGUAAUGUCUGGGGAUCUGCCCGAUAGAGGGGGAUAACCACUGGAAACGGUGGCUAAUACCGCAUAACGUCGCCAGACCAAAGAGGGGGACCUUCGGGCCUCUCACUAUCGGAUGAACCCAGAUGGGAUUAGCUAGUAGGCGGGGUAACGGCCCACCUAGGCGACGAUCCCUAGCUGGUCUGAGAGGAUGACCAGCCACACUGGAACUGAGACACGGUCCAGACUCCUACGGGAGGCAGCAGUGGGGAAUAUUGCACAAUGGGCGCAAGCCUGAUGCAGCCAUGCCGCGUGUAUGAAGAAGGCCUUCGGGUUGUAAAGUACUUUCAGCGGGGAGGAAGGCGAUGUGGUUAAUAACCGCGGCGAUUGAUGUUACCCGCAGAAGAAGCACCGGCUAACUCCGUGCCAGCAGCCGCGGUAA
rnacentral:rRNA from 1 species